rnacentral:rRNA from 1 species
UACGAGGGGGGCUAGCGUUGCUCGGAAUUAGCUGGGCGUAAAGCGCACGUAGGCGGCUUUCUAAGUCGGGGGUGAAAUCCUGGAGCUCAACUCCAGAACUGCCUUCGAUACUGGAGAGCUCGAGUCCGGGAGAGGUGAGUGGAACUGCGAGUGUAGAGGUGAAAUUCGUAGAGUAUUCGCAAGAACACCAGUGGCGAAGGCGGCUCACUGGCCCGGUACUGAC